UGAAAGUCCCAAUCUUUGUACUGGG
rnacentral:piRNA from 1 species